rnacentral:rRNA from 1 species
UACGGGGGGGGGAAGCGUUGUUCGGAAUUACUGGGCGUAAAGGGCUCGUAGGCGGCCAACUAAGUCGGACGUGAAAUCCCUCAGCUUAACUGGGGAACUGCGUCCGAUACUGGAUGGCUUGGAUUUGGGAGAGGGAUGCGGAAUUCCAGGUGUAGCGGUGAAAUGCGUAGAUAUCUGGAGGAACACCGGUGGCGAAGGCGGCAUCCUGGACCAACAUUGACGCUGAGGAGCGAAAGCUAGGGGAGCAAACGGG